UGGGGAAUCUUGGGCAAUGGGCGAAAGCCUGACCCAGCGACGCCGCGUUGGGGAUGAAGCCCUUCGGGGUGUAAACCCAUGUUGUAGGGGACGAAGAAAGUGACGGUACCCUACGAGGAAGCCCCGGCUAACUACGUGCCAGCAGCCGCGGUAAGACGUAGGGGGCAAGCGUUGUCCGGAAUUACUGGGCGUAAAGGGCACGCAGGCGGUGCGCCAAGUCGAGGGUGUAAAGUUACGGCUCAACCGUGACAUUGCAAUCGAUACUGGCGCGCUGGAGUGCGGGAGAGGGAAGUGGAAUUCCCGGUGUAGCGGUGAAAUGCGUAGAUAUCGGGAGGAACGCCAGUGGCGAAGGCGGCUUCCUGGCCCGCGACUGACGCUCAUGUGCGAAAGCCAGGGGAGCGAACCGGAU
rnacentral:rRNA from 1 species